GUAAUCGAAAGGUUCUGCACUAUAAAUAUUUAAAAUCCUUUACCAGUAAACAAAAGAAGAGAAUUUCGAUUGAAAUGGCUGUGCCAAAUGUGAAAUUCAACAACGGCAAGGAAAUCCCAAUCCUUGGUCUGGGAACCUGGGGAAGCCCAAAGGGAGAGGUCACCGAGGCUGUGAAGGUGGCCAUUGAUGCCGGAUACAGGCACAUCGACUGUGCUUUUGUCUACCAAAAUGAAGAUGAGGUUGGAGAUGGAGUUGAGGCCAAGAUCAAGGAGGGCGUUGUUAAGCGUGAGGAUCUGUUCAUCACUAGCAAGCUGUGGAACACUUUCCAUCGCCCGGAUCUGGUCAAGACAGCUGUGGAGAACACAUUAAGUGCCCUUAAGCUGAAGUACCUCGAUCUGUACCUUAUCCAUUGGCCCAUGGGUUACAAGGAAGGCUGCGAACUGUUCCCCACCGAUAAGGAUGGCAAGACCCUGUACUCGCCGGUCGAUUACGUCGAUACCUGGAAGGCCAUGGAGAAGCUGGUGGAGGAAGGUCUGGUCAAGUCCAUUGGUGUCUCCAACUUUAACAGGAGGCAGAUUGAGCGCGUGCUUGAGGUGGCCAAGAUCCCACCAGCAACUAACCAGAUUGAAUGCCACCCCUACCUGACACAGAAGAAACUGAUCGAUUUCUGCAAAUCGAAGGACAUUACGAUCACAGCCUACAGUCCCUUGGGAUCUCCCAACCGCCCAUGGGCCAAGGCUGGUGAUCCGGUCAUCCUAGAGGAGGCUAAGAUUAAGGAUAUUGCUGCCAAGAAGAACAAGACUCCUGGACAGAUCCUCAUUCGUUACCAGAUUCAGCGUGCCAACAUUGUCAUCCCCAAGUCUGUUACCAAGAGUCGCAUCGAGUCCAACUUCCAGGUCUUCGACUUUGAGCUGACGCCCGAAGAAAUUGAAACCAUCGAGAGCUUCGAGUGCAAUGGUCGCCUGGUGCCCCUGCUUAAAGAUGCUGGUACCCACAAGUACUAUCCAUUUCACGACGAGUAUUAAGCUUUAAGAAAUCGAUAUCUGCAAAGCGAGAAGUUAUAAAGAAGAAUUCUUUUAAAUGAGAAAUUAUACCUAUUGAAAACUGAAACUCUAUCAAGAAAAAUAUCCAAGUAUAAUGCUGAUCUACAUAAACAUGAACAUGAGGUUAACCCAGUACGGUCACCCCCACCACCCUUUCGAGAAGGACGAAUACUAGUAGACAA